CGCCUCCACCACACCCCCCGAAGGCGUAGGAUGUGCAUCGUUCCACGAGCUGGCUCGGCAACGUUAAUAAUGUAUCUUUCCUGAUGCUGAGUCAAACUUAAGCUCUAAUUUUUCUGGGUGUCAGCUGACUGCAAAACAGUGCCACGUGUCCUCUAAGGAGCUCAGGCUGAGCCGGGGCUUUGGAGUUGUUGCUGCCGGUCCUACUGCAUGCCGAUGAGUAUAUUUAGUGUCUGUUUUCAAGAGGAAAUGUACGCACAGAAAACAGGAAGUUGCUGUGGUAAAAUGUGUUGCUGCUGCAUUAACCACACCAGCCACUGGAUGUCACCAUUGCGUUACCUCACUCUCUGAUGGAGGUUUCCAAUCAAAGAGAUGGAGGGCAAAGUUUUAUUCACAGAGUUAUUUCUUUAUACUUUUUAAAUUUUAUUUUCAUAUGUAUGAGUGUUUUGUUCACCUGCGUUUGCAUCAUGUGCAUGCCUGGAGUCCAGGGAGGUCAUAAGAGAACAUGAGAUCUCCUAGAGCUGGAGUUAGAGACUGUGAUAAGCCUGUGUAUGGGUGCUGGGAAUCAAACCCUGCUCUGCAAGAUCAAGCCUUCUUAACUGCUGAGCUACUUCCCGUCUCUUCACAGAUUCCUAAUGAAGAAGAUGCAGCAUUUUCCUGUCAGAUGUCCUAUUGAAAAACAGUUCUCCCUGUGUGUACUAUAUUUUCUUUCAUUUUUGAUAACUGGACAUUUUUCAAAGAGAGAAAACUGUAUCCAUUUUGCAAACUUAUCAUAGCUAUCAUUUUCAGAGUCUAAUGAUCAAAUUAAAACAUGACACCACAUGCAGUUCUUUUAGAGAAGUGGAGUUCUAUGUUCCCUCACAAAGUGUAGGAGCGUUGAAUAAGAACAUUAACAAAGUAGCAGCACUGUGCAUAGAAGAAAGCAUCAGCUGUAGAGAUGGCCUCUGUGAGGGAGCUUCAAGACCAAACAUCUCCAAGGCACACUGGAAGCACCUGGCAACCAUCUACAGCCUGGAAAAGCUCCUUUCCUUACCCUGUUUUUUGUUUUGUUUUGGGGUUUUGUUUUGUUGCUGUCCUUUUUAAGCUACAUUGGAAAGACAUUUUUUGAAGAACGUCAUAGUUGUACUUUAGCCCUCAAUCAUUCCAUUAGAAAAAGGACAUUCUAGCAAUUACAUAGAUGGUGAUAGUUUGAAGUACCCCUAAAUAUAAAUAGUUGCAUUAGUAGUCCCAAA